UACGGAGGGGGCUAGCGUUGUUCGGAAUUACUGGGCGUAAAGCGCGUGUAGGCGGCUCGGAAAGUCGGGUGUGAAAGCCCUGGGCUCAACCCAGGAAGUGCAUUCGAAACUUCCGAGCUGGAGUCCUGGAGAGGAAGGCGGAAUUCUCGGUGUAGAGGUGAAAUUCGUAGAUAUCGAGAGGAACACCGGUGGCGAAGGCGGCCUUCUGGACAGUGACUGACGCUGAGACGCGAAAGCGUGGGGAGCAAACAGG
rnacentral:rRNA from 1 species